GAUUAACGCUGGCGGCGUGCAUAACACAUGCAAGUCGAACGAUGAAACUUAAAUGAUUUCUUCGGAAUGAACUUAAGUGGAUUAGUGGCGGACGGGUGAGUAACGCGUGAGUAACCUGCCUUACACAAGGGGAUAGCCGUUGGAAACGACGAAUAAUACCCUAUGAUGUUUCUAUCUCGCAUGAGAUAUUAACCAAAGUGUUAGCGGUGUAAGAUGGACUUGCGUCUGAUUAGCUAGUUGGUGAGAAAAAAGCCCACCAAGGCAACGAUCAGUAGCCGGCGUGAGAGAGUGUACGGCCACAUUGGGACUGGGACACGGCCCAGACGCCUACGGGAGGCAGCAGUGGGGAAUUAUGCACAAUAGGGGAAACCCUGAUGCAGCGACGCCGCGUGAUUUAGAAGGCCUUCGGGUUGUAAAAAUCUUUUGUAUAGGAAGAAAAUGACAGUACUAUACGAAUAAGGUCCGGCUAAUUACGUG
rnacentral:rRNA from 1 species